rnacentral:rRNA from 1 species
AGCGAACGCUGGCGGCAGGCUUAACACAUGCAAGUCGAACGCACUCUUCGGAGUGAGUGGCAGACGGGUGAGUAACACGUGGGAACGUGCCCUUCAGUUCGGAAUAACUCAGGGAAACUUGAGCUAAUACCGGAUACGCCCUUCGGGGGAAAGAUUUAUCGCUGAAGGAUCGGCCCGCGUCUGAUUAGCUAGUUGGUGGGGUAAUGGCCUACCAAGGCGACGAUCAGUAGCUGGUCUGAGAGGAUGAUCAGCCACACUGGGACUGAGACACGGCCCAGACUCCUACGGGAGGCAGCAGUGGGGAAUAUUGGACAAUGGGCGAAAGCCUGAUCCAGCCAUGCCGCGUGAGUGAUGAAGGCCUUAGGGUUGUAAAGCUCUUUUAUCCGGGAAGAUAAUGACUGUACCGGAAGAAUAAGCCCCGGCUAACUUCGUGCCAGCAGCCGCGGUAAUACGAAGGGGGCUAGCGUUGCUCGGAAUCACUGGGCGUAAAGGGCGCGUAGGCGGCCGAUCAAGUCAGAGGUGAAAGCCCAGGGCUCAACCCUGGAAUUGCCUUUGACACUGUUUGGCUAGAGACCGGAAGAGGUUAGUGGAACUGCGAGUGUAGAGGUGAAAUUCGUAGAUAUUCGCAAGAACACCAGUGGCGAAGGCGGC